GACGAACGCUGGCGGCAUGCCUAACACAUGCAAGUCGACCGGUAAGGCUUCCUUCGGGAAGUACACGAGUGGCGAACGGGUGAGUAACGCGUGGGUAACCUACCCUUGACCGGGGGACAACCGAGGUAACCUUCGGAUAAUACCGCAUAACGUGCAUUGCCCCUAGGUGGUGUACCCAAGCUCCGGCGGUUACGGAUGGGCCCGCGGCAGAUUAGCUUGGUGGUGAGGUCACGGCUUACCAAGGGGACGAUCUGUAACUGGUCUGAGAGGACGAUCAGGCACACUGGAACUGAGACACGGGCCAGACUCCUACGGGAGGCAGCAAGGGGGAAUCUUGCGCAAAGGGCGAAAGCCUUACGGAGCAAUGCCGCGUGAGAGAAUACGGCCUUAGGGUUGUAAACCUCUUUCAGCAGGGACGAACACAGACGGUACCUGCAGAAGAAGCCCCGGCUAACUACGUGCCAGCAGCCGCGGUAA
rnacentral:rRNA from 1 species